rfam:TPA: Bos taurus chromosome 1, whole genome shotgun sequence.
UCCCUGGUGGCUCAGUCGGUAAAGCGUCUGCCUGCAAUGCAGGAGACCCAGGUUUGAUUCCUGGGCCGGGAA